rnacentral:rRNA from 1 species
AUGAGGAUCACCAAACAAUGCAACUUGCCGCUUUCUUUGGGUAAGCAUUACCGCUCAGAUGUGUUGUGUGAUGUGGUUGACAUGGAUGCCAACCAUGUUCUUUUUGAAAGGUCUUGGCAAUUUGAUGUGGAUACUACACACAAGGGCAAGGAAAAUCCUUACUCUUUCAUUUGGAACAAUAGAAAGAUCAUUAUCUUAUCAAACAAAACUGAAGGUAAUACCUCUAAGGAGGAGGGGAAAACUAUGUUAACUAUCUCCCAUACCUCUCAUGAGUUUAUGGAAGACUUGAAGGAGGCAGAUUUGUGUGCUGCACUUGUUGUAAAGGGAGAAGAGCACCCGACUGUUGAAAUUCCAGCAAAGGUACGUGGUUUAUUGGCAGAAUUUCAGAACAUACUUGGGGAGCCACAUGGCUUGCCACCGAUGAGAGGAAUUCAACAUAGAAUUGACUUAAUUCCGGGAGCAAGUCUUCCUAAUCUUCCACACUAUCGAAUGAGCCCAAAGGAGCAUGAUAUAUUGAAGGAGAAAGUGGAGGAAUUGCUGUAA